GAUGAACGCUGGCGGCGUGCCUAACACAUGCAAGUCGAACGAACACACGAGGAGCUUUCUCCCCUGACUGUAGCGGGGGAGGGGUGUGUGACAUGUGUAGGACAUAGCUUGAAGACUGGGAUAACCUAGUGGAACCGGUGCUUAUUACCGAAAAUAUAUUGAACCCCAUGGUGCAAGAGUGACAGGCGUUUUUGCUUUGGCUGAGAGCUGAUGCCGUGCUGUAUUAGCUAGUUGGUGAGGUAACGGCUUACCAAGGCCACGAUGCGUAGCCGACCUGAAAGGGUGAUCAGCCACACUGGAACUGAGACACGGUCCAGACUCCUACGGGAGGCAGCAGUGGGGAAUCUUGCGCAAUGGGCGAAAGCCUGAUGGAGCAACGCCGCGUGAAUGAUGAAGGUCUUCGGAUUGUAAAGUUCUGUUAGCAGGGAGGAAGAAAUGUGUGUGUAACUCUGCACGUAUUGACGGUACCUGAAGAAAAAGCAACGGCUAACUCCGUG
rnacentral:rRNA from 1 species